UGGAGCGGUAAGCAUAAUGGUACUGCAGCGGCUUGCUAAGCCGUUACACGGUAAUCCCGUGAUGCUGGUUCGAAUCCAGCUCGCUCCGU
rnacentral:tRNA from 1 species